GUGUGUAUGUCUGUGUGUGUGUAUGUCAGUGUGUCUGUGUGUGUAUGUCAGUAUGUGUGUCAUAGACACACACAGACAUACUGACAUACAUACACAAACAAACAU
rnacentral:miRNA from 1 species